rnacentral:lncRNA from 10 species
CCGAUCAGGGGGCUGUUUUCCUGCAGUAGAGCUUUGGCCCAUUCUAAUGCCAAGCCGGACAGGUCUUGCAUUCGGAAGUACAGCGAGAUGAUGGACCUCACCAUGGCCAUAAGUUCUGCGGUUGAGUGCUCGGUCUGGUUUUGCUCUUGAGGAGUCUCCUCCCUUCCCGAUUCCUUCAGGCACGGUGCUCGAUCCCCAAUGGAAGGAAAUGGAGGCAGACCCAUCUUGCAGGUCAUCACCAGGAAGGAGAUGAGACUCAUGUCCUGGAGACGAAUACCCCACUGGAGGUGGCGUGAAGGGGAGAUGGCUGCUUUCUCCUGGGAAGGGAGCAGAUGCCUGGCCCAGGACCAAAUCAAAAGGUCUGAAAAAUGAUAUUCAUUGUCCUAAUGUGUAAAUUUCGACAAUUUGCAAAUUUGUAGAUUCUUUAGAAUAGAACUAACUCAAGCCCUUCAUUCUGCAGCUGAGGCUCACUGCCCCCAGUGGGCAGUGGGUCCAGGGGGUUUCUGAGGACAGGGCAUGACCCAGCCCUGCUGCCCCCAAGAUGGCACCUGGCUUGGAGGGGUGAGGGGCCCUGUUAGUCUGACUUUGAAGAAGACCAGCCUUCCAGACUCGCUUGGUGCCCUGACAGCAGCUUGUGUUUCUUCCUUCAAGAGUCUGCUUAGAGAUAAUAAAGAUCAACACUAUUCCUUAUAACAACACCUCAGUAUCCUGCGAGCUGUACACACCAGAGUUUAUUUAACCACCUUGCUGCUGGCAUGAAAGCCUCAGGAGCCCUGGGCUCCCCCAGUGUUGCCUGGGUCUGACUUUGCCUCAGUGAAAACUGCCUCGAAUUCUUUCUUGCACCGAUGGGCAGAUGGGCAGUGUCGGAGGAUCGUGUCAUCUGUCCCGUGGCGCUGGUUGGCUUGGUCAAGUCAGUGUUCAAACUAUCUCCUGCUCUUUCAAGGGGAUCUGGGGCUCUAGAAGAUUAGAGGACUUGGAGAGGUUAGUGACUUGCUCGAGGUCGGCUAGGAAGCAAGACCCAGGAUUCCAACUCAGGUCUGUGUGAUUCCUCUGCAAAAUGGAGAGGUGGAAGGAUGGAUGUCAGGUCUGAUGGAUGGAUGGAUGCCUACAUCAAGAUACAUGCAUAGAUGGAGAGAUGGCUGGCUACCUCAUGAAUGCUGGACUGUUGUGAGAAUCAAACGAGAUAAUGUAUGCUGAGGCAUGCUGUGAACACUACGUGCUGGGUACAGGAGAAUGGAGGCUCCAGAGUGAAAUUAAUGACACUUUGUCGAUGAAGAUCUUGAUUGUGACCUCUGUGGAAAAUGAGCCAUGAACCAACCAAUAAGCAGGCUUAGUCACCCUUGACACAGUUUGCAGUUAUCCACCUCCUCCAAGUUCUUAAUAUGUUAGAUCCAGAUAACUGCCUUGUACAGCCACCUCCAGGAUACUGCCUCCCUAAAAAACAGCUAGAUACACUGACCCCACAGCCUAUGUGGACCACACAGAUAUAGUGGCUUGCUCUAAAUGCACCAGUGAGAACUCUCUGCAGGAAACCUGCUUGGGAAAUGCCAUAGCCUGCAAUACAGGCUUUCCCCUUCCCGCUGGCCCUGUGAGGCAUGCAGGAUCUGUAAGUAAUAAACUGCUUCUGUUGUUUCAUUUCAUGUGUUUUGUUGAGUUGCUUCCUCUGUGUCUCACCUGACCAACACACUUGAAUUGAACUUCUUUCCUGGUCAGGGAUCUCCUAGAGAAUGGCUAUCUUGGCAGGAAUAGACUAGAUGUAGGUCAGACAAGAACCACAGGGGUACUGCCAGUGUAAAUGAGUUUCCUAUGAGAGGGACACCUGGUAAUGGAUAGGAUGCUUAGGCAUUAGACUGUCUGCUGGGAUAAAGACGUAUCCCAUAAAAGAUACGCUGUAAACACCCAUGACCACCUCUCCUGCAUCCCCAUCAGGCAGAGCUAGAAUUUAUAUUCACUCUCUUGAGACAGACCUCAAGACCAUGUUAGAAGAAAGUACAACACUCAUCAUCCUAGAAUUAUGAUUAUUCCAAUUCAGUUCAUCCAAGGUCCCUUUAAAAAUGCAUUGGUUAAAGAGUCAGUUAAUAUUCUUUUUUUUGGCAUGGUGGCAUGUUGGAUGUUGAUUUUAGUACUAAAAAUAAAUAAAUAAUUACCUAAGUGUGUAAAAUAAACAAAAGGCCAAAACAUGGACUGGUGAUGAGAAUGGUCCAAGAAUGAAAGCAUUAUAGUUAAUUAAAUUCUGACUGCCACACAAAUAACCUACCCUGUUUCACUUCCUUUACCAGCUGUUUUGUAUUUCAUUUUGUACAUGAACAUAGUUUAUUUACACGUUUGCCCAUAAAUAGAAAUCUGGGCUAUUUACUCUGACCAAGGAGCACACAAAGAGAUGAAAGAUGACGUCAGUGUUCUAUUAGUGGAGUAACAGAUUGGAUUUAUGAUUGCUCAUUGCAACUUCUUUAGAAAUGAUCAAAUCAAAUAAAAGAGUGUCAGCAUAAACCAAUGAUGAUGUUUCAUGAAGCAGAGAUCAUGAUUAAUCCAAUUAGGUUCAUUAGAAAAAGUUCUAGAAUAUAACCUAAGAGUAUUUUCUAGUAUUGCCCAAUGGAACAGUGAGUGCACCGCAGGUGAUCAGCUAUUCUGUAAUGAUGAGGGCCGGGCUGCUUUCUCUGUGGGCAAGGAGCAUGGAGGCUGAUGACAGGACAGUCAGGGUCCUUGUUCUUGGUUUGGAUGAUUUGCUCAUGGAUGUUGACUGUAUUAUUUAAAAGAAAUAAAUAGCUCUACAUAUUAAAAUAUUGCAGAACAUGCAUGGACCAAUGAUGAGAAUGUUAUAUGAAUCAGUGUUCAUGAUUAAUCCAAUUCAACACCACUUCUAUUAAGAGUACAGUCAGGCUAUUUUAUUUGUGCUGCUGGCAGUUUAAUAUUCAUAUACAUUUUACAUCACUGUUGAUUUAAACAGUCCUCCAUUGAUAUACACCUAUGCCAUUAACUGCUUAAGAGGGUAUCACAAAGGAAGAUUGAAAGUAAUUAUCAGUAUUCUAUUGGGCAAGAAGAUGGUGGAUUUAUAGUAGCUCAUUGUGUCAUCUUUGAAAUAUAGACAAAUUAAAAGAAAGAGGGCUAAGGAUGGGCCAGUGAUAACUGUGGCAUUGCUAUGUAUGAAGAAUGUUGAUUGAUCCAUUGAUCCAUGUGUGUCAUACUGAGAUGCGUUAUAGGAAGAGAUCUAGUGUAUUAUCUCUGUGGGAAAUUAGAUUAUAGACAUGCACAGUCUAGUAUCAUCAGUGCUAGCCACUGGAGCUACUGUGCACUUGGAAUGUGACUAGUCUAAUCGACAUGUGAUCUACAUGGAAAAAUACACACCGAGUUUAGAAGCCUCAAUAUGAAAAAGGUAAAAUAUUUCUAGAAUUAUUUAUAUUUAUUAAAUGAUAGUAUUUUAGAUAUUGGGCUAAAUAAAAUACACAAUUACAGUUGAUUUCAUCUUUUUCUUUUUACUUUUUAAAUAUUGUAGCUUCUAGAAAAUUUACAAGUAUUCGUGUAGGUGGCAUUAUAUUUUUUAUUGCUCAGCACUGCUAUAAUCCAAUGAGAGGAAUAUUCAAUUUUAUGUUUUUCUAAUCCAUGGGUACUGAUUGUAUUAUUAUUGGCUAAUCAGUGAUGAAUCAAUGACAAGUGAAUAAAUGAAUGAGAAAAAAAUGGGAACAGCACAUGCUAAACAUUAAAGUGUAUACUGCUGAAACAAGGAUUAUUUUCCUUUUUUUUUUUUUUUUUUGAGACAGAGUCUCACUCUGUCACCCAGGCUGGAGUGCAGUGGCGCAGUCACAACUCACCACAGCCUCGACCUCUAGGCUUAAGCAAUCCUCCUGCCUCAGCUUCCCUAGUAGCUGGGACCACAGGCUCAUGUCACCACACCUGGCUAAUUUUUUUGUAUUUUUUGUAGAGAUGAGGUUUCACCAUGUUGCCUAGGCUGGUCUCAAAUUCCUGGGCUCAAGUGAUCCACCCGCCUUGGCCUCCCAAAGUGCAUGAGCCACUGUCUGGCCUAUUAUAAGUAGUUUUUAUUAAGCACCAAAACCCGUAAAAAUAAUGGCUAUGGUUUAAUGGUUAAUUCUUUUAGGUAAGGAUGGUUAGUUUGUUUAGGUAAGGAAGACAUGAAAAGAUCAUGUAAUAAUCGAUGCUGUUCUGUGUUGUUGGUGGUGUCUUGCUAGUCUUCAGUUUUUUGUUUCAAAGAAAAUUACUGACAUUAACAAAUACCUGAUUAUGUAGCUGACUAAAUGGAAGAGGAUCAAGCAUGGCAAGUGCUGAGUGAGGAUUAAUCCAUGUAGGCACUACUGAAAUCCACUGUAAGAGAUACCCAGUCUCUUACCUUCAUAGAUGGGCCUGUAGCAGGGUCUUGAUCUUAACCCUUUUAUGCCUCAUGGUAGUGAUUACAUUAGUAUAGUGUAAGUGAAUCGAUGAGUAAAUCAUUAAACAAAUUGAACAAAUGUAUAAACGAACUUUUUUUUUUUUUUGGAAAGGGAGUCUCACUCUGUCGCCCAGGCUGGAGUGCAAUGGCGCGAUCUCGGCUCACUGCAACCUCCGCUUCCUGGGUUCAAGCGAUUCUCCUGCCUCAGCCUUCUGGGUAGCUGGGAUUACAGGUGCCUACCACCAUGCCCAGCUAAUUUUUGUAUUUUAGUAGAGACGGGGUUUCAUUAUGUAGGUCAAGCUGGUCUCGAACUCGUGACCUCAAAUGAUCUGCCCACCUAGGCCUCCCAAAGUGCUGGGAUUACAGGUGAGCUUAUUAAACAAGUGUGUAAAUGAAUAAAAAAAGAAAGCCAAGCAUGAACCAAUGGAUUAUUAUUAUGUUUUUGAAGCAUUGAAGUCAAUAAAAUACACACAAGCCCAGGGCUGGAUGGUUGCUCUUACUUCUAAGGGAAAGAUUUUUACAUAAAGAAGAAAAUGGAAGAGGACCAGUGUUGAGAAUGUGUCAGGUGAUAAGAAUUAAUAUUAAUCCAGUUCUAGUCAUUGAGUUCAUUGAAUAACAAUGAGAAUGAAGAUCUAGUUGAUUAUCUCUGUGGGUGAUGGGCAGAUUGACAGAUGUUAGUUUUAUUCAGAGUUUUUGAACAGUUUUCUUUGGAUUCUCAGCUAUGGAUUGUAAGGGAAUGAAUGAAUAAGUUUAUGUCACAAUAAGUUAAAAGAGGACAGAUGACAGACCAGUGAUGGUCAUAAAUUUUGAAGCAAGUAUUAGGAUAAUACAUUUCUAUACUGCUGAUGUCCAUGUAAAGGAUAUAAUGUCUGGACUCCUAAAUGCUUAAUGUUCACAGAUGUGUUCUUGUUAUAGUCAGUUUUGGAUGCUGGUAGAUUUAUCCUUCUUAAUUUUCUUUCAAAAGAUAGAUAUGAGAUUAAAUUAACCUAUUACAAAUUAAAUAGUAAAUAAGCAAAUAGAUGAAUACAUAAAGAGGGACAAGAAGGAUUUGUCAAUUAAAUAAAAUUUUAUUUUAUUUUAAGAAUAAAAUAAAACUUAAAAAAAGAAUGAGCAUUGGUGAAAAUGUACCCUGAAACAAAAUUUAAGAUCAAUAUAAUUCUGAACAAGUGGGUUCCACUACAAAACAGAUGGAAGAAAAUAACUUCAUUCAGUUUACAAUUGUUUAAUAUGUCAUUUUUUCACCACUCUUAAUUUACACAUUCUGCCAUUGAUAAAGAUUUAGGUUUCUAAGCUAUUGACAGAGAAAACACAAGUAAGGAAAAAAAUGUUGUCAGGGAAGUAAAACAAGUGGUUCCUUUAUGUUCUUUGUUAAAUGUUUAAAAUUUGAAAAAGUUGAGGAAAGGCUAGAGAAAGAGGGCCCUGCCUGGACCACAUUGAGUGUGGGACUGUAUAAGGAUUUUGGUUGGUCCAUAUGUGUAACAGUGAGAUCCACUGUUGAAGGAGAUUUGGUGGAUUAGCUCUUGGAGAAAUUAGCCUACAUCUAUCAGUUAUAAUAUUCAUAUAUCUUAUUCUUGCUUUGUUGUGAUUCAUGAAUAUUGAUAAAGCAAUUUUUGUCAAUUAAUGAAUUAAAUCAAUAAACAACUGUAUAAAUAAAUAAAAAUGUCUCAAAACUAAACCAAUGGUAAGUACCCUGAGGUGCUUGAAUCAAGGAUUUUGAUUAAACUAUAUGACUCUAGGUCCAUUAUAAAAACAAACCUAAUUUACUGCCUCAGUGGGACAUGAGCUUGUAGCUGCAGUGAGGAAUAUAGGCAUCUCGUGCUUGGGAUUUUGCACAUCUGAUAUGAAUCCUAUUAUUAGUAGUAAAUCAGUGCAUGAGUAAAUAAAGACACAUACCAAUGAAUUCAGCCAAAGAGGGCUGGAUAUGCACCAAUUAUGAGAGUAUUAUUCUAAGUAAAUGAAGGAAGGGAUUAUUUAUUUGCUUAUUUAUUUUUUAUUGACAGAAUGCUUUUUUAUUAUCUAUAGCAUCAAGAACAAUACUUCCUUCAUAGCAAUGACAAAAUAAAACUAUAAUAAUAAAAUAAUAAAAAAUAAUAAAAAUGUUAGCAGUAUAGCUAACAAUUGUUUACUAUAUAUUAAUCACUGAGCAAUUUUUUAAAAAUUUUCUAUUUUUAUUUCAAUAGUUUUGGGGGAACAGGUGGUUUUUGUUUACAUGGGUAAGUUCUUUAGUGGUGAUUUCGGAGAUGUUGGCGCACCUGUCACCUGAGCAGUGUACAGUGUACCCAAUGUGUAGUCUUUUAUUCUUCAUCCCCUACCAGCCUUCGCCCUGAGUCCCCAAAGUUUAUUAUGUCAUUAUUAUGCCUUUACAUCCUCACAGCUUAGCUCCCACUUAUAAGUAAGAACAUACAAUGUUUGGUUUUAUUCCUAAGUUAAUUCACUGAGAAUAAUGGUCUUCAACUCCAUCCAGGUUGCUGCGAAUGCCAUUAUUUUGUUCCUUUUUACGGCUGAGUAGUAUUCCACAGUUUGUGUGUGUGUGUGUGUGUGUGUAUAUAUAUAUAUAUAUCACAUUUUCCUUAUCCACUUGCAGAUUGUUGGGCAUGUAGGCUGAUUUCAUAUUUUUAAAAUUGUGAAUUGUGUUGCUAUAAACAUGUGUGUGCAAAUGUCUUUUUCAUGUAAUGACUUCUUUUCCUCUGGGUGAAUACCCAGUAGUGGGAUUGGUGGGUUAAAUGGUAGUUCUACUUUUAAUUCUUUAAGGAAUCGCCAUACUUUUUUCCAUACUGCUUGUACUAGUUUGCAUUCCCACCAGCAGUGUAAAAGUGUUCCCUUUUCACCACAUCCAUGCAAACAUUGAUUAACUUUUGAUAGUUUAAUUAUGGCCAUUCUUGCAAGACUAAGGUGGCAUCCCACUGUGGUUUUAAUUUGCAUUUCCCCGGUAAUUAGUGAUGUUGAACAUUUUUCAUAUGUUUUUUGGGCAUUUGUUUAUCUUCUUUUGGGAAUUAUCUAUUCAUGUCCUUUGCCCACUUUUUGAUAGAUUUUUUUUUUGUGUGUUUUGUUUUUUUGCUGAUUUGUUUGGGUUCCUUGUAGAUUCUGAAUAUUAGUCCUUUGUCAGAUCAUAGUUUGCAAAUAUUUUCUCCCACUCUGAGAGGUGUCUGUUUACUCUGCUGAUUAUUUCUUUUGCUGUGCAGAAGCUUUUUAGUUUCAUUAGGUCCCAUCUAUUUAUUUUUGUUUUUGUUGCACUUGUUUUUGCAUUCUUGAUCAUAAACUCUUUGCCUAGGCCAAUAACUAGAAGAGUUUUUCUGAUGUUAUAUUGCAGAGUUUUUAUGGUUUCAGGUCUUAGAUUUUAAGUCUUUGAUCCAUUUUGAGUUGGCUUUUGUUUAAGGUGUGAGAGAUGAUGAUCCAGUUUUAUUCUUCUACACGUGGCUUGCCAAUUAUCCCAGCAGCAUUUGUUGAAUAGGGUGUCCUUUUCCCACUUUAUGUUUUUGUUUGCUUUGUUGAAGAUCAGUUGGCUGUAACUGUUUGGUUUUAUUUCUGGGUUCUUUCUCCUUUUCCAUUGGUCUAUGUGCCUAUUUUUAUACAAGUAUCAUGCUGUUUUGGUGACUAUAGCUUUGUAGUAUAGUUUGAAGUUGGGCAAUGUAAUGCCUCCAGAUUUGGUCUUUAUGCUUAGUAUUGCUUUGGCUAUGUGGGCUCUUUUUCAGUUCCAUAUGAAUUUUAGGAUUAUUUUUCUAGUUCUGCGAAGAAUGAUGAUGGUAUUUGGAUGGUAAUUGCAUUGAAUCUGUAGAUUUCUUUUGGCAGUAUGGCCAUUUUCACAAUAUUGAUUCUAUCCAUGCAUGAACGUGGGAUGUGUUUUCAUUUGUUUGUGUCAUCUAUGAUUUCUUUCAGCAGUGUUUUGUAGUUUUUCUAGUAGAGAUCUUUCACCUCUUUGGUUAGGUAUAUUCCCAAGCACUUUUUUGUUCUUGUUCCAGUUGCUGUAAAAGGGAUUGAGUUUUUGAUUUGAUUCUUAGCUUGGUUAUUGUUGGAGUAUAGCAGUCCUACUGAUUGCAUGAAAGGGAUUAUUUAAAAGAGGACAAACAUAGAUGAAUAAAGUUAAUGUAUCAUUAAAAAUGUUCAUAUAAAUAAAAGGGGACUAGGGUUCUGCACACUGUGGAUAAAGAACAUAGAGUCAGUUAUUUGUAAUAAUAUUGUAGGCCAUUUUGCAUUUUCCUUGAAGAAAAUAAAAAUACUAACAAAUUAUUCCAUGAGUGAAUAAAAAAUAAACAAAUAAAUGGAUUCAUAAAUUAGGAUCAAACAUGGACCAUUGGUGAAAAUGUGUUAAGAAAUGGGGACAUAAAUUUAUCCAAUUCUAAUCAAGGAAGACCUAUAAAAAAGAUCACCUUGGUUCUUACCUAUGUGGGUGGGGCUUAAGUGAUAGAAUUUGGAACAUGCCUAGUUUUUUAUUAUUUUUUUUAGGGCACAGGUUUGGGAGUUUUCACUAUAUUGCCUAAAUUAGUAAUUUAAAAAGUCAAUAAAUAAAAUCAGGGCCAUUCUUGGGCUAAUGAUGGGAAUUUGACAAAAACUGGAGUUUUUUUUUUCCAUAAAUUUGGUACAACAGGACUUAGGUCCCUUAAAAAAAAUCUAAAUCUGUGCUGCUUCUUGAAUUUUCUAAAAUCUAGUUUUUACUCCACAUUCUGUAUGCCAGAUCUGACUUAUUUGUUAUCCAAUGAUGGAGAUCAUGGCUGUCACUUAUGUGGAUAAGAAGCAGAGAGGCACGUUAAGUAACAGAGUUCUUGUUCUUGCUUUGAAGGGGGCUAUUCAUGUUGUCCAUGGAAUUAAUUCAAGGGAAUGAAUGGCUACCACAAACAUAAAUAGAAUUAAAAAAUGCUGAGAGAGUGGAUGUGAAGUGUUCUCACCACAAAAAUGGCAACUACGAGAAGUAAUGGUUAUAUCAAUUAGCUAGAGUUAGUCAUCCGACAAUGUAUAUAUAAUUCAAAACAUCAUGUCGUAUGCGAUAAAUACACAUAAUUUUAUCUGUCAAUUAAAAAUAAAAUAAUAAAAUCAAAACCAAUUAAACAAUGCCAUGCAUGGGCAAAUAUUGGGAAUAUGUAAUGAACCAUAGGUUAAGAUGAAUUCAUUUUAGUACAGCUGAAGUCCCUUACAAAGAUGAAUUUAUUUUGGUACAACUGAAAUCCCUUACAAACAUAAUUGGAGGGGGUUGUAUUCAUUUUCACAGUUGCUUAAUAUUCUACUCUAUUGUGCACCGUAUUUUAAGAAGAUUUCUCUAUUGAUAAAGAUCUAGGCUUUUUCAUUGGUGGGGAGGGAGCACCUACAAAUACUGAACAAAUUGCCAGUGUUCCAGUUGUGGAAUGAGGUGAUAGGGUGUUCAUUGUACUGCUAUUAAGUUAUGAGUAAAUUAAGCGAAAGACGAUUGAGCAAAGAGCAGUAGCACACGGGAUGGUUAGGAAGCAAGGUUAUCGAUUAAUUAUAGGCACAGUCUGAGGCCCAAUUAAAAAGAGAUCUCGUCUACCAGCUCUGUGGGAAACAAGCCUGGAAAUAGCAUUCUGCAGCAGUCAGAGGUCUUGUUCUUGGGUUUUUGUGAUUCAUGGAUAUUAAAUUAUUUUGUGGGUGAAACCAUGAAUGAAAUAAUAUGCAUAAUCAAUAAACAGUGCAUAAGUAAAUACAUGAGGAAAAAGUGAGUGAUGAAUAGUUCUGUGGCAUAUGAAUCAUUAAUUUUGAUUAAACCCUAAACUCUGAAGUCCAUUAGAAAGAGACCUUGCUCUUCUCUGUAAGAGAGUGGAAUUCAGAGUAAAAGUUCAGUUUCUUGGGCUUUAGUGCUUCCUAGGUAGGGAUCAUAAAUGAAUCGAUGAAUGCAUUAACAAAGAAAUGUGUAAGUGAAGAUAAAGACUGUCAUAUGUGGACCAUUUAUGAGAGCAUGUCAUGAAACAAGUAUUUCUAGGAAUAUAUUUGUAGAAUACUGAAUUUCAAUAUAACAUAUAGGCAAAAGCUGUCAUUUGGAGUACAUAGGAGCUGCAGACACGCAGAAGCACAUGGACAGAUGCAUCUAAGUGUCCAUGUUGGCAUUCUGGAUUGGUAAGAGGUUGCUAGCUGUCAGCUUAUUGAGAAGGAAAAAUAUUUACACAAACAAAAGAUUACAUGACUGUAAUAGAAAAGGAGCAAAUAUGUGCCAAUUUGAGGAUGUGUUACAUGACACCAGUUAUGAUGGAUCUAAUUGUAUCCACUGAAUUUUAUAAAAAGCGACAAAAAAUGGCAAGGGAUAGAGUCGGUUAUUUCUAUGGGUUGUUUUGUUUUGUGUUCAAGUUCAAGUGUAGAGUCUGGGAUCUCUGGUAAUUAUAUAUUGUUUUUUAAGUUGAAUGAAUAUAAUUAUAUCUCAAGGGCCAACUCUGGACAGUGUGGAGCAUGUGAUGUGGAAUAAAGCUUAUGACUAAUCCCGUUCUACCCUACUGGUGUCCUUAUAGAGAAAGUAGGAUCUAGGCGCUUCUAACUUGGGUUAACUUGGGUUAAGUUCAUAGAGAGGGAUCAUAGAAUAUUUCAGUUCUGGGCUGCUGGUGGGUUUACCAUAUUUUAUUGAGAGAGGGCCAAACACGAACCAAUAUUCAGAAUGUGUCGUAUGACCAGGGUUAUAAUUAAUCCAACAUUAUUUAGUGAGUUUUAUUUUUAAGAAAAUUAAAAGAGGAUUUUUUGGGCUGUAGCUAUGGGCUAUGAAUAUGUAGACAGAUAUUGACAGUUCUUAUCCUUUGUCUUGGAGUCCAUUGUUAUUGAUAUGUUGUUCUAAGGGAAUAAAGGAGGUUAUUCAUAUCAAGAUCAAUUAUUUAAGAGAAGGCCAAGCAUGGGCCAGUGAGGAACAGGUGUUAUGAACCAAAGAUAAUGAUUACUCCAGUUAUACUCUAAUGUUGUCCAGAUAAAUAGAGCUCCAGGUUGCCCCUGCUUUGGAUAAAGCACACAUUGAAAUUUCCAUGGAGUAAUUCUUUAGAAAAACAGAUAUGUAAUUUAUUCCAUGCAUAAUUGUAUAUAUGAGUAAAUAAGUGAAUCACUAGACAUGUAAAUCAGAAAGAUUUUGCAUCAUUAAUGAGAAUAUGCCAUAAAACAAAGGUUUACAUUUAUCUAAUUUUGCACAAGUGAGAUCCACUAAAAGUGAUCACCUAUCUGGUAAAUUUAUGGAUCUGGAGUAUGUAGACAGAUAUUUAUGAUAGAUAUGGCUCUUAUUCUCAUGUUGAUAUUCAUUGUAUUAUUUAAAAGCCCAAACUACACAAGUCAAUAAAUAAGGAGUGCCAUUUUUGGGCAAUGAUGAGAUGACCGAAGUUUAUGAUUAAUCUAAUACUGCCAAACAAAUUUCCAUUAAAAAGUCUAACUGUAGGGUCUUUCUUUCUCUUGAAAGUAUGUAUUUUACUUCACCAAAUGAGCACAUUAUGGUGAAGAACUGAUUUAGUCAUUCUCUAAUGCUAAAGAUCUUGCCUUUUACUUCUGUGGGUAAGGAGAGAAGAGAUUUAUGUAAGUAACAAUUAGUGUUUACUGUUCUUGGAUUGGGAGGUUGGUUCAUGGGUGUUGCCUGAAUUUAUUAAAAUAAUAACUGGAUAUAUUAAUAAAUAAAACUAGGUAACACCAAUAUGUACCAGUGAUGAGAAUAUGUUCAGAAUUGGGAUUUAUGAUUAAUCUGAUUUGGUACUAGUAAAAUUCAAUAAAAAAGAUACAGGGUAUUUCAUUCAUUUUCAGAGAUGAUUCAGAUUGUUUUAUUAUUGCGUUGUGAUUCAGUUAAGUACCUCUCCAUUGAUAAAGAUUUAGGCUAUUAAUUCCUUGAGGGAGGAGCACAUAGGAAGAUGGACAGUGUUGUCAGUGUUCUAGUUGUGCAGUAAGAUUAUGAUUCCUUGGUGAUUCAUUAUACCAUAUUUGGCACUUGAAAAAGGACCAACCGUGGACCAGUGAGUAGCAUGGAGCUGACAUGAAAGAAGGAAGUUGAUUAAUUUAUAAGUGCCAAAAGUGCAUAUAUGUAUAUAUAUGUAUACAAACUCACACACACAUAUGUUGCAGAAAGUGACUUCCAUCUAUUAGCUCUUUGGUCAAUGGACAUAUAUACAAUCAUUAGUAUUCACAGAUGUUGUUCUUGAGCUUUUUGAUUCAUGAGAAUUGAUUAUACUAUUAUUAUUAAUGAAUCAAUGAAUAAAGAAAUAAACAAUGCAUAAAGUAUGUCAAGUAUAGCCAAUCAUUAGUAUUCUGAGCUGUAGGAAUCAAAGAUUUUGAUUAGAUUCUGUAACUCAGAGGUUUAUUAGAAAAAAGAAACUAGUUAUUUCGUCUGUGGGAAAGGGGCUUACAGCAAAAGUUAGGAAUAGCCAAAGAUCUGAUUCUCAGUUCUUCAUGCCUGUGAACUGUAUGAGAAGUGAACCAAUGCAAGAAUAAAGAUGUAGAAAUUAAUGAUGGCUAAUUAUGCAAGUCUUUAAUGAAACAAGGGUUAUUACUAAUUAUUGUUAUUUUCUGAAGCACUGAGUUUCAUAACAUAAAUAGAUUAAGUGUCCCUUACUAUUUUCCACAAAAGACAUAUCUAAUUUCACGAGAGUCCCUGUUGUAAUUUUGGAUUGAUGUUGGGUUGUCGGUUUUAUUUAGAAAAGAAACAAAUCAUUUACAUUAAAAGUAAUUGUUCCAAUAAUUGCCUAAUUGAAAGAAGGCCAGGUGUGGACUAAUACUGAGAAUAUGACCAUAGGUCUUAUUAAUCCAAUUCUGUUCACUGAACAUUAUCUAAAACAACAAAAAUGAUCUAGCCAUUUGUAUUUUUGGGCAGUGAGCAUACAAACAGAUAUUAGUCAGUGUUCUUGUCCAUUGUCUUGGCUUUUAUUCAUUUUGAUGUAUUGUAAAAAGUGAAUGAAUAAAUGAGUUUGCGUUUCAAUUAUUUAAAAGAGUAUGGAGGAUUGGCCAAAGUGUCAUCAAACAAAAAUAACAAUUAACCCAUUUUUACAG